rnacentral:lncRNA from 1 species
AGGAUCAGCAUGACUGUAGUGUUCCUGGCUUAACCCUGAGAGGUUGCUGUUCCCAGUGACUAUCUAGGCUGAAGCCCAUGUAGGAUUUGAAGAGACUGAUCCAGGCUUUAUGAGUGGCUGCGACCAUGCUGUAUGUGUGUAUGUGUGUGUGUACACCGCCUAAGUGUGUUCAUUUCAGCCACAGCAAGAGUUAUGUUACAAGGAUAGCAUAGACAGCCCUGCCUAUUGCAAGAGUAAUGCAUCAGGUGUGAAACAGAUCUUUAAUGCUGUGUGAAGCAGGCUCUUUUAAGGAUGCUGUAUCAUGUCUCAGACGACUGGAUUCCUAAAAACUCCCCAAAUGAAGCAGGUCCAAUUAGUAUGGUGUCACCAAUAUAUGGAUCCAUGCGAUUGAUUAUCUGUGGAGUGUCCGGAUGGUCCAGGACCCUUCAGAUUAUAUUACGAUGGAGAACAGGAAAAUUAACCAAAACCUGGGCAAGACUGCGAAUGUGUGCUACUAUCCAUCCCAGUUCUGGAGGCCGGAGUUGGAAAUCAGUUUCACUGGGCACACAUGGAGGUGUUUGAAGGGCUGCCCGUGCCAGAGGCUCUCAGGGAGAAUCCCUUCCUUGUCUGUUCCAGCUCUACCUCCUCCUCUGCUGUAUACAAAGACAAAGAAACAGGCAAAGAAACAUCUCUGACAUCAAGAUCAGGAAGUCACAGAGAGUACUUGAGUACACAUUCAGAAGUUUCAAGGAUUUUCUGUUCGUUUAUUAAACCUUAACAUUUGCUGUACAAGUUUUCAACAGGCCAAGGUUAAGUGAAGAAUGAAAAUAAUGUUUAACUCCAUUACAAAAGAGGAGGCUUUUGAUACAGACUUCAUAAUGUUCUUUGAGGAAGCAGGUAUAUGAGGUUUGUACAUUGAAUGGAUGUUCUAGAUUGAGCAAAAUACCCUCUAUGCACUCUCCUGCAGAGAGUGUGGGUGAAAUAGAAAUGUAUUUCUGGAUAGAAAGAGCAAUGUAUCACAUGCAUUCUGAAGAAGUCUAGCUGAGCAAAACCUUAAGAUUUCCUGUUGUUGCUGGACCGUAGACAUCAAUAUGACCGCUUAGCAUAAAGAUAAAGGUACCUCAGGGCCCAAGAAUAAAAAUUCCAUCGAGCACAACUCAGCGCUCUGAAAAUCUAGAUUUCCCUAAUCCCAGAGGGUGAGAGCCAAGGAGGAGCUCGUCCUGCCCAUUCCUGCCUUCCUCUAUCCCUGGCACUCACACCACAAGUUUGCUCUACUCUUAAACAAAAGCACCUGUGUUUUAAAAUUUUCAUUUUAAGUUCUGGGGUACAUGUGUAGGACAUGCAGGUUUGUUACAUAGGUAAACUUGUGCCAUGGUGGUUUGCUGCACCCAUCAACCCAUCACCUAGGUAUUAAACCGCACAUGCAUUAGCCAUUUGUCCUAAUGCUCUCCCUCCUGCCAACCCCCCACCCCCGACAGGUCCCAGUGUGUGUUGUUCCCCUCCCUGUGUCCAUGUGUUCUUACUGUUCAGCUCCCACUUAUGAGUGAGAACAUGCAGUGUUUGGUUUUCUGUUCCUGUGUUAGUUUGCUGAGGGUGAUGCCUUCCAGCUCCAUCCAUGUUCCUGCAAAGGACAUGAUCUCAUUCUUUUUUAUGGCUGCAUAGUAUUCCAUGGUAUAUAUGCAUCACAUUUUCUUUAUUCAUUCUAUCAUUGAUGGGCAUUUGGGUUGGUUCCAUGUCUUUGCUAUAGUGAAGAGUGCUACAAUGAACAUACACCUAUUUUUUUUUAACCCACAUUAUUUAUAGUCUUGUUUUCAGUAUUUUGGUAGGCAGUGCCUGGUCUGCUCCUCUCCUCCCUUCUCUGAGUUGCCCUUUUCCUCAAUUCUCUUUUACCAACUUUCCUUUUGCGAUCGUCUCUACUCUCCUUUUCUCUAUACUUCCCCUUCUUUUUCUCUUGGCCUCGACUUCUGAAUCCUGUGACAAUGGCGUGGGGGGUUUGGUGGAGAGAGGGGAACUAAAAGUGGAAAUGAGACACUGGGGAAUAAUCACAAGAAAGGAAACAAGACUUCCCAACUCUCCCCGGCUGUGAGCCCCACGACAUGGUUUCCACAUGAGCCUUCUCCCCACUUUUGGCUGCCUCCCUGACACGUUUCCAAGGAGACCUUUCCAAGUCAAGGCCGCAGCUCCCAAAGUAUUGAAGCACAAACCCAGCCCACUUCCAAUAAAUCAUCCUCUACAUACAGUUGUCUGGUUUGUAUCAGAAUGUCCUUGGGAUUCCUGUAAUGCUUGUCUCCAGAGUCACUUAGCCAGCAUUUUGGCUAGUUUUUGUUUUUGUUUUUUUUUUUCUGAUACUCUGGUUGCAUAAAGUUAAACAGGGUUUGCAAAAUGUAAUUUCAUUAUAUGAACAACAAGUUCUAUACACUGAUGAAUAACUUGGUUUUAUGUGGGCACUUAAUUCCCAGUCUAGUGCUAAGUCUUUAUCUUAAUUUUAACUUUUAAGGCAAACAAUGCAAGGCAUCAUCUUUUGAGUGGGAAAGAGGAAAAGCAUUUUAAUGAAUGAGUUCUUGGUUGGGCGCAGUGGCUCACUCCUGUAAUCCCAGCACUUUUGGAGACUGAGGCAGGAGGAUCGCUUGAGCUCGGGAGUUCAAGACCAGCCUGGGAAACAUGGUGAAACCCCGCCUCUACACAAAAAUUAAAAAAUUAGCCGGGGAGGGGGAUUGAUUGUGUGCAUUUGCAGCUGAGCUGCAGUGAGUCCCAGCUACUCGGGAGGCUGAGGGGGGAAGAUUGUUUGAGCCUAGGAGGGUGAGGCUGCAGUGACUUAUGAUCCUGCCACUGCACUCCAGCCUGGGCAAUAGAGUGAGACUCUCCAAAAAAAGAAAAAUAGAAUGAAUAAUGAAUGAGUUCUUGAAAGGAGAGAUGUAGCUGGGCACAGUGGCUCACAUGCUUGUAAUCCCAGCACUUUGGGAGGAUAAAGCAUGUGCAUCACCUGAGGUCAGGCAUGGUGGCGGGUGCCUGUAAUCCCAGCUACUUGGGAGGCUGAGGCAGGAGAAUUGCUUGAACCCAGGAGGCUGAGGUUGCAGUGAGCCGAGAUCACACCACUGCACUCCGGCCUGGGUUACAAGAGUGAAACUCUGCCAAAAAGAAAGAAAGAAAGAGAGAGACAGAGACAGAGAGAGAGAGAAAAGAAGGAAGGAAGGAAGGAAGGAAGGAAGGAAGGAAGGUAGGAAGGAAGGGAGAGAGAGAGAGAAAGAAAGAAAGGAGAGAUGUGAAAAAUAUGUUUAAGAAUUUCUCAUACAUUCAUGUCUGAAAGGAAUCAUUUUAUUCAUCCCUCUUUCAUGGAUGAAGACAUUGAGGCCCAGGUGUGGUAAAAUUUGCCCGAAGUAGCCCGUGAGUCCGUGAGAUGUCCUGCUCCCAUCUGGAGAGGAGGAGACACGCACAGCCGUCUCCACCACAAGCCGGAUUCCAGACACUGAUCCUGCCACCACCACCCCAGUCUUCUGUCUGUCCCUCUCAGCAUGGCAGUCAUGUACCCUGGCACAAUUUCUGUGAAAAUCCCCUAAACCAAGCUUGUCUAACCUGUGACCCACAGGCCGCAUGCAGCCCAGGAUGGCUUUGAAUGCAGCUGAACACACAUUUGUAAACUUUCCUAAAACAUGAAUUUUUUCGCAUUUA